rnacentral:misc_RNA from 1 species
UCCUAGUUAACCUAGGCAGUCUCACUAAAGUUCCCACCUGUAAGUGUUGGCAAUUAGUGACAAGGGUUGCGCUCGUUGCGGGACUUAACCCAACACCUCACGGCACGAGCUGACGACAGCCAUGCAGCACCUGUGCAGAAGCCCCGAAGGGAAUAUGCAUCUCUGCAUACGUCCUCUGCAUGUCAAGCCUGGGUAAGGUUCUUCGCGUUGCAUCGAAUUAAACCACAUGCUCCACUGCUUGUGCGGGUCCCCGUCAAUUCUUUUGAGUUUCACCCUUGCGAGCGUACUCCCCAGGCGGUAUACUUAUCGCGUUAGCUUCGGCACAACUGGGGUUGAGUCCAGCUACACCUAGUAUACAUCGUUUAGGGCAAGGACUAC